GACAGAGGUGCCGAGCGUUAGGCGGAAUCACUGGGCUUAAAGCGUGUGUAGGCGAGCCGUUAAGUGUCUUGUGAAAUCCCCCGGCUCAACCGGGGAAUUGCUGGGCAUACUGGCGGUCUUGAGCAAUCUAGGGGCAGAUGGAACAAGUGGUGGAGCGGUGAAAUGCGUAGAUAUCACUUGGAACGCCAACGGUGAAGACAGUCUGCUGGGGAUUUGCUGACGCUGAGACACGAAAGCCAGGGGAGCGAACGGG
rnacentral:rRNA from 1 species